rnacentral:rRNA from 1 species
GGGCGUGCGGAUGCUAUACAUGCAGUCGAGCGAACAGAUAAGGAGCUUGCUCCUUUGACGUUAGCGGCGGACGGGUGAGUAACACGUGGAUAACCUACCUAUAAGACUGGGAUAACUUCGGGAAACCGGAGCUAAUACCGGAUAACAUAUUGAACCGCAUGGUUCAAUAGUGAAAGGCGGCUUUGCUGUCACUUAUAGAUGGAUCCGCGCCGUAUUAGCUAGUUGGUAAGGUAACGGCUUACCAAGGCAACGAUACGUAGCCGACCUGAGAGGGUGAUCGGCCACACUGGAACUGAGACACGGUCCAGACUCCUACGGGAGGCAGCAGUAGGGAAUCUUCCGCAAUGGGCGAAAGCCUGACGGAGCAACGCCGCGUGAGUGAUGAAGGUCUUCGGAUCGUAAAACUCUGUUAUCAGGGAAGAACAAAUGUGUAAGUAACUGUGCACAUCUUGACGGUACCUGAUCAGAAAGCCACGGCUAACUACGUGCCAGCAGCCGCGGUAAUACGUAGGUGGCAAGCGUUAUCCGGAAUUAUUGGGCGUAAAGCGCGCGUAGGCGGUUUUUUAAGUCUGAUGUGAAAGCCCACGGCUCAACCGUGGAGGGUCAUUGGAAACUGGAAAACUUGAGUGCAGAAGAGGAAAGUGGAAUUCCAUGUGUAGCGGUGAAAUGCGCAGAGAUAUGGAGGAACACCAGUGGCGAAGGCGACUUUCUGGUCUGUAACUGACGCUGAUGUGCGAAGCGUGGGGAUCAAACAGGAUUAGAUACCCUGGUAGUCCACGCCGUAAACGAUGAGUGCUAAGUGUUAGGGGGUUUCCGCCCCUUAGUGCUGCAGCUAACGCAUUAAGCACUCCGCCUGGGGAGUACGACCGCAAGGUUGAAACUCAAAGGAAUUGACGGGGACCCGCACAAGCGGUGGAGCAUGUGGUGUUAAUUCGAAGCAACGCGAAGAACCUUACCAAUCUUGACAUCCUUUGACCGCUCUAGAGAUAGAGUCUUCCUCUUCGGGGGACAAAGUGACAGGUGGUGCAUGGUUGUCGUCAGCUCGUGUCGUGAGAAUGUUGGGUUAAGUCCGCACGAGCGCACCCUUAGCUAGUGCAUCAUAGUGGGCACUCUAGUGACUGCGUGACAACGAGAGAAAGGGUGGGAUAACGUCAAUCAUCAUGCCGUUAUGAUUGGCUACACCUGCUCAAUGCAAUCGAGGCAGCUACCUGCAAGUCAGCAAAUUCUCUAUUAAGGUGUCUC